rnacentral:rRNA from 1 species
GAUGAACGCUGGCGGCGUGCCUAAUACAUGCAAGUCGAGCGAACGGAUGAGAAGCUUGCUUCUCUGAUGUUAGCGGCGGACGGGUGAGUAACACGUGGAUAACCUACCUAUAAGACUGGGAUAACUUCGGGAAACCGGAGCUAAUACCGGAUAAUAUUUUGAACCGCAUGGUUCAAAAGUGAAAGACGGUCUUGCUGUCACUUAUAGAUGGAUCCGCGCUGCAUUAGCUAGUUGGUAAGGUAACGGCUUACCAAGGCAACGAUGCAUAGCCGACCUGAGAGGGUGAUCGGCCACACUGGAACUGAGACACGGUCCAGACUCCUACGGGAGGCAGCAGUAGGGAAUCUUCCGCAAGGGGCGAAAGCCUGACGGAGCAACGCCGCGUGAGUGAUGAAGGUCUUCGGAUCGUAAAACUCUGUUAUUAGGGAAGAACAUAUGUGUAAGUAACUGUGCACAUCUUGACGGUACCUAAGCAGAAAGCCACGGCUAACUACGU